CCUACGGGCGGCUGCAGUGAGGAAUAUUGGUCAAUGGUCGGGAGACUGAACCAGCCAAGCCGCGUGAGGGAGGAAGGUACAGAGUAUCGUAAACCUCUUUUGUCAGGGAACAAAGGCGGGGACGUGUCCCCGGCUGAGUGUACCUGAAGAAAAAGCAUCGGCUAACUCCGUGCCAGCAGCCGCGGUAAUACGGAGGAUGCGAGCGUUAUCCGGAUUUAUUGGGUUUAAAGGGUGCGCAGGCGGUCUGUUAAGUCAGCGGUCAAAGCCCGGGGCUCAACCCCGGCCCGCCGUUGAAACUGGCAGUCUCGAGUUGGAGAGAAGUAUGCGGAAUGCGCGGUGUAGCGGUGAAAUGCAUAGAUAUCGCGCAGAACUCCGAUUGCGAAGGCAGCAUGCCGGCUCCACACUGACGCUGAGGCACGAAAGCGUGGGUAUCGAACAGGAUUAGAUACCCUGGUAGUC
rnacentral:rRNA from 1 species